rnacentral:rRNA from 1 species
CAGCCGCCGCGGGAAUACAGAGGGUGCGAGCGUUAAUCGGAUUUACUGGGCGUAAAGCGUGCGUAGGCGGCUUUUUAAGUCGGAUGUGAAAUCCCUGAGCUUAACUUAGGAAUUGCAUUCGAUACUGGGAAGCUAGAGUAUGGGAGAGGAUGGUAGAAUUCCAGGUGUAGCGGUGAAAUGCGUAGAGAUCUGGAGGAAUACCGAUGGCGAAGGCAGCCAUCUGGCCUAAUACUGACGCUGAGGUACGAAAGCAUGGGGAGCAAACAGGAUUAGAGACCCCCGUAGUCCCUGUCUCUUAUAC